rnacentral:lncRNA from 1 species
UGGCAUAUGGAAGUUCCCAGGCUAGGAGUCAGAUUGGAAUUGCAGCUGUUGGCCUAUGCAACAGGCACAUCAACACCAGAUCCAAGCUGUGUCUGUGACCUACACCACAGCUAAUGGCAAUGCUAGAACCUUAACCCACUGAACAAGGCCAAGGAUUGAACCUGCAUCCUCAUGGAUACUAGUUGGGUUCUUAACACACUGAGCCACAACAGAAACACCCUAAAUUAGUUCAGCAUCUCCUGUUGUGUAGCAUCAUAGUACUUUGUUACCCCUUCUGCUACCAAAAUAAUUUUGACUAAAUAAUUAAUUAUGCAAAUAGUUGCUUAAAGUCUUCUGCCCUAAUAAUAUAUAAGCCCCUUAAAAUCAAGCACUGUCCAUUUCUGCCUCAUCCUUUCACGUCUGGUACAUUACCCACAGUAGUCAAUUCAAUACAUUUUUAUUGAAUGAAUAAAAUAUCACAUCCCUGUGAAGAAAAUUAUAUGGUGGAUUCUCAAGUUCAAUAGAUUGCCAAGGACUUGCAAGGAGGCAAUAUCCCUAAAUUCAAAUCUUAACUCUGUCAUUUACUGUGUGAGACUGAGUAAAUUAUUUACUCUGUAAAAAUUAAGGAUUUCUGUAAGAGCUGGGAGAAUUAAGGUAACACAUUUAAAAUUUCUAGAACACAGAAGUAUCCAACAGUUAACUAUUGUUAUUCAUUUAUUCAGCAAAUAUUUGUAUGUGGUAGAAACUGUUCAGGGAACCAGAGGUUUCAUGGUGAAUGAGAAACAUGAUAUCUCUGCCCUCAUGGGAUACAUUUUAGUAGAGGAGAAGUAAAUAAACAAGUAAAUGAAUACUGUAACUUCAGGCAAAUAUGUAUAUAUAUGUGUGUAUAUUAUAUAUUAAAUAUAUAAUAAAUAAUACGGAGGCAUUAUUUUAAAUAGAAUAACUUGAAAAUAGCUCUUUUUUUUUUAGGAAGAUAGUAUCUGGAAAAAAGGAGAAUACUCAAUCCAAAGAUGUAGGGAGAAAGGGAUGGCAAAGAAAUUAGCUUCUGCAUAAAAAUCUAUUAUGAUUGUGGGUUUAUUUAUUUUUCUCUACAGUUUCAUAAAAAAUUUUUUUUUGCUGUAUAUGUAUUGAGGCUGUUAAAAUUGUGAUAUCUUCCUGAUGUUCCUUUCAACAUUACAAAGUGAACCGGUAGUAUAUUUUCGUUUGUUUGGCCAAACCCACAGCACAUGGAAGUUCUGGGGCCAGCAGUGGAGUCAGAGCUAAAGGUAUGGCCUACACCGCAGCUUUGGCAACAUCAGAUUCUUAACCCCCUGUGCCACAGCAAGAACUCCCAGUAGUAAUAUUUUUGCAUGAAAAUAUAUUUCAUUUAUAUUAUUAUUGUUAUAUCAGCUUUCUUUUGGUUAGUAUUCUCACAGCAUAUAUUCUUGCCUACUUUUUUAUAAAACUUCUGCGUGUAUAUUUUUGCAUAUUAUCGUGAGGCGUAUUUUCCCUAGAACGAUGUCUCUCAUAGUUCGCACUCAGAAAAUACUUAUUGAAUAAAUGAAUUUGUUGACUGGAGAUAGUACUACGUGUCAGUUGUUAGAGAAAGUUAAGGGCUCAUGUAAAUGGUUGUUCCCGAGUGUUUUAUUGAACUGACUGUGUGGCUCUUUCAAAUAUAUGCAAACAGCAGCCCUUUUAAAGAGCUCUCAGGAGCUUUUGACUAUAGGGCUCUCCCUUCCCCCACCCCGCUGGGCCUUGGGAGGCAUUUCCUCCCCUGCUAACCACAAGGCAAAACUGGGGGCUGUGGGAGGGGGUAUAUAGAUCCUGUAAUUUUAUAUGUUAAGGAACUAAGGUAUGGUAGUAAUUUUCCUAUGGUUAGUGAACACUCCCCCUCUUUCCUUCCUGUAACACAGCUCUUGCAAACAACAAAGUAAUUUUACAAUUCUAUUUUGGUGAUCAUAUUUUCCAUAACAAGUGUAAAAGUCCUGAGGCAAAAAUGAGCGCUAUUUUUCCUUGGAGUAAAGUAAGCAAAGGGAAGAAGGAUGGCCGAGCACUGCUUUUGUUGUUCUUGUUAAGGAAUUAAACUGGCCCUUUAUUUGGUAUUAUAUGUCCAAUUUCUGGAACAAACUGCAUUUUUCUCUUGUUACUCUUCUUCCUGUAGAAUGCCCUUUCUCUCCUCAUCUACCCCAGCCUUACCGUCUCCUUCAACAUCAGUUCCUGUUUACUGACAACACUUUCCUUGUAUAAGGCAUAAGACCUUGAUCUCCAAAAGUGUGCAAUUUAGGUGUGUGGAUAAAACAUUUACUAACCAUGAGAAAUGUAGUGCUAUGGGAACAGCUAAUGAAAACAGACAAAAUUCAACUAAAAAAGCAUGUUUUGGAAUUGCCCUACUGGAAGAAAACUUAAUGACUUUUGUGAUGAAUAAAUUGCACAGUUGCAGGAGCUGAUGCAAGAAGUCACUAAACCCAAAGGCAAUUUAGUAUUACUGAGUCAAGGAAACCAAAAUUUUAGUCUUAACAAUAAAAAUUUACAAAGCAAAAAAAAAAAAAAAAAAAA